rnacentral:rRNA from 1 species
CCCUUACCUACCCUUGACAUGUACGGAAGCCUGCUGAGAGGUGGAGGUGCCCGAAAGGGAGCCGUAACACAGGUGCUGCAUGGCUGUCGUCAGCUCGUGUCGUGAGAUGUUGGGUUAAGUCCCGCAACGAGCGCAACCCUUGUCCCUAGUUGCUACGCAAGAGCACUCCAGGGAGACUGCCGGUGACAAACCGGAGGAAGGUGGGGAUGACGUCAAGUCCUCAUGGCCCUUAUGGGUAGGGCUUCACACGUCAUACAAUGGUCGGAACAGAGGGUUGCCAAGCCGCGAGGUGGAGCCAAUCCCAGAAAACCGAUCGUAGUCCGGAUCGCAGUCUGCAACUCGACUGCGUGAAGCUGGAAUCGCUAGUAAUCG